rnacentral:rRNA from 1 species
UGGGCAACCUGCCCCUGACACUGGGAUAACCCCGGGGAAACCGGAGCUAAUACCGGAUACUCCGGCUGGAUCGCAUGGUCCGGCCGGGAAAGGUCCGCCGGAGAGGGAUGGGCCCGCGGCCUAUCAGCUUGUUGGUGGGGUCAUGGCUCACCAAGGCGACAACGGGUAGCUGGUCUGAGAGGAUGGCCAGCCACAUUGGGACUGAGACACGGCCCAGACUCCUACGGGAGGCA